AUGGCGGGGGAGGAGGCCGCGGAGGGAAGCGGGAACAGGAGGCGGAUGGAUCUAAACCUGUACCUGGGCCUCCCUCCAUUGCCGCGGCCUCCAGGUCGGCUGGGCGUAGCUAUGGAUCGCCCGCCGCCGCCCAACUCGGCCAUUCCGGUUCCGGAAUCUCCAAGAACAGAUGAGCCUGCAGUAUUACCGGCACCAGAGGAGAUGCCGCCACUGCCCGUUGUAUACUCGCCGUCCAAUGCGCUCUCCACGCCGGAGCUAUCGCUGAUAGAUCCGAUGCUCUUUGAUUGGCUUGAUGGCCUCAGUACGGACAGUGAAGAGGCUCUUGAUGCUGGUGAACCGGCUGUGGUGCGCGACACGCCCUCACAUGAUGCCAAUGUAUCACCACCGCCGCCAGCGCCAUUGUCUCUUCCUGGGCUGGAAGGGGUUCGCCUUGAGUGGGUGGAAAGGCUUUCUCACCCUAUUCUGGUGGCUCCUGCAGCCGGAGCAGAGAUGGUGAGCACGAGGGUGAUGAGUCAAUCUAUGGGGGCUGCGAAUGCAAUUGAAGACAUGACGCCUGAGCUCCGCCUGCAGAGGUUGAUCCAGGUGAGUGAACAACACCGCAUUGUGCGGCCAGGGUCAGUGAACCGCAACCAGCGGGCGACCAGCCCAGAAGCAGAAAGACUGGCGCAAGCCAUCCAGCGGUCUCACAGCUCUCUAGACGCAUCAAGGCGGCAGAAGCUCGAUGGUGAUGGCAAGAUGACAGGAACAGGUGCCGUCAAGAAGGACGGGAACUGUGGGUGCAACUCCAGUUUCGAGUGCAAUAUCUGCCUUGAAGCGGCUAAAGAGCCCGUGGUUACACCGUGCGGCCACCUCUUCUGCUGGCCAUGCUUGUACCAGUGGCUCCAUGGACAUUCAGCCCACUCUGAGUGCCCUGUCUGCAAGGGAGAGGUGCUCGAAGUAAAUGUCACACCAAUAUAUGGAAGAGGAGGCGGUGAAUGGGACGCCUCCAGCAAUGAUGUUCCUCCCAGACCACGCGCAAACAGGAGUGAGAGCUUGAGGCAGCAACUGCAAAUGCCAGACCCAAGAGGCAUUGCAAGCAUGGUGAGACGGUUGAUAGAAAACCAGGAUAUAGUGAGAGGCCAGGCAGCUCCACCUGCAGGCGGGGUUGAGGUGACUGUACUUCCCGCAGCCCGGUCAAGGGCUAGGGUACGGAGACAGCAAAGACACAGUCUUGUUUCACCCUCCCCAAUAAUGCUGCGUGCAAGCAACGCGGCCCCUGAGAGUGGCAAUCAGGCAUCGACUUCUAGCACCCUGGCUGUUAUAGUGGGACAGGCAGCCCAAAGUAGGAGAUCCAGACCUUCGGAGUCCACAACCACAAGAAGAACAAGGAGGAGGCAGCAGCAGUAG
rnacentral:rRNA from 1 species